AGCGGGUGAAAAGCCCGCUCGCCGGAAGACCAAGGGUUCCUGUCCAACGUUAAUCGGGGCAGGGUGAGUCGACCCCUAAGGCGAGGCCGAAAGGCGUAGUCGAUGGGAAACGGGUUAAUAUUCCCGUACUUGGUGUUACUGCGAAGGGGGGACGGAGAAGGCUAUGUUGGCCGGGCGACGGUUGUCCCGGUUUAAGCGURUAGGUGUGUGUUCCAGGUAAAUCCGGUUCACUUUAACACUGAGGCGUGAYGACGAGGCRCUACGGUGCUGAAGCAACAAAUGCCCUGCUUCCAGGAAAAGCCUCUAAGCAUCAGGUAACAUCAAAUCGUACCCCAAACCGACACAGGUGGUCAGGUAGAGAAUACCAAGGCGCUUGAGAGAACUCGGGUGAAGGAACUAGGCAAAAUGGUGCCGUAACUUCGGGAGAAGGCACGCUGACAUGUAGGUGAAGUGAUUUACUCAYGGAGCUGAAGUCAGUCGAAGAUACCAGCUGGCUGCAACUGUUUAUUAAAAACACAGCACUGUGCAAACACGAAAGUGGACGUAUACGGUGUGACGCCUGCCCGGUGCCGGAAGGUUAAUUGAUGGGGUCAGCGCAAGCGAAGCUCCUGAUCGAAGCCCCGGUAAACGGCGGCCGUAACUAUAACGGUCCUAAGGUAGCGAAAUUCCUUGUCGGGUAAGUUCCGACCUGCACGAAUGGCGUAAUGAUGGCCAGGCUGUCUCCACCCGAGACUCAGUGAAAUUGAACUCGCUGUGAAGAUGCAGUGUACCCGCGGCAAGACGGAAAGACCCCGUGAACCUUUACUAUAGCUUGACACUGAACAUUGAGCCUUGAUGUGUAGGAUAGGUGGGAGGCUUUGAAGUGUGGACGCCAGUCUGCAUGGAGCCGACCUUGAAAUACCACCCUUUAAUGUUUGAUGUUCUAACGUGGACCCGURAUCCGGGUUGCGGACAGUGUCUGGUGGGUAGUUUGACUGGGGCGGUCUCCUCCUAAAGAGUAACGGAGGAGCACGAAGGUUGGCUAAUCCUGGUCGGACAUCAGGAGGUUAGUGCAAUGGCAUAAGCCAGCUUGACUGCGAGCGUGACGGCGCGAGCAGGUGCGAAAGCAGGUCAUAGUGAUCCGGUGGUUCUGAAUGGAAGGGCCAUCGCUCAACGGAUAAAAGGUACUCCGGGGAUAACAGGCUGAUACCGCCCAAGAGUUCAUAUCGACGGCGGUGUUUGGCACCUCGAUGUCGGCUCAUCACAUCCUGGGGCUGAAGUAGGUCCCAAGGGUAUGGCUGUUCGCCAUUUAAAGUGGUACGCGAGCUGGGUUUAGAACGUCGUGAGACAGUUCGGUCCCUAUCUGCCGUGGGCGCUGGAGAACUGAGGGGGGCUGCUCCUAGUACGAGAGGACCGGAGUGGACGCAUCACUGGUGUUCGGGUUGUCAUGCCAAUGGCACUGCCCGGUAGCUAAAUGCGGAAGAGAUAAGUGCUGAAAGCAUCUAAGCACGAAACUUGCCCCGAGAUGAGUUCUCCCUGAGACUUUAGGUCUCCUGAAGGAACGUUGAAGACGACGACGUUGAUAGGCCGGGUGUGUAAGCGCAGCGAUGCGUUGAGCUAACCGGUACUAAUGAACCGUGAGGCUUAACCUU
rnacentral:rRNA from 1 species